GGGGUUGUACUGGUUUCGACGGGGAUCAUGCAGCUGGUGAAGCUAUCCGCAUGCGGUGCGUUAAACGGCAAAAUUAAAAUUAAACGCUGAAGAUAAUUUAGCAUACGCAGCCUAAUGGCUGCUGUCAGCCUUAGUGCACUCACACAUUAAGAAUCUGGCAUCGACUAUGUGAGAAACGACAUGUACUAAGCUUUGCGUGCAUGGGCGUAUCAUGAAGCUACUGAAACCGCAAGAGUGUCUGUUCCCGUGCGGCAGAGGGAAUGUCAAAUAACAGACUAUGAUAGUAGAAGAACAGGGAAUUGGUUUUCGGACAGGGGUUCGAUUCCCCUCAGCUCCACUU
rnacentral:tmRNA from 1 species